UACGGGGGGGGUAAGCGUUGUUCGGAAUUACUGGGCGUAAAGGGCUCGUAGGCGGCCAACUAAGUCAGACGUGAAAUCCCUCAGCUUAACUGGGGAACUGCGUCUGAUACUGGAUGGCUUGGAUUCGGGAGAGGAAUGCGGAAUUCCAGGUGUAGCGGUGAAAUGCGCAGAUAUCAGGAGGAACACCGGUGGCGAAGGCGGAUCUCUGGGCCUUACCUGACGCUCAGGCACGAAAGCUAGGGGAGCGAACAGG
rnacentral:rRNA from 1 species